ensembl:lncRNA
CAUAAACGAUUAGCUCCUCCAUGAAGGGAUUAAUGAAUGCCCUUAUGACAGAGAGCCCAUGAAGAGCCUCUAUCAUGUGAGUUCACAUGGAGGAGAUGGAACUUAUGAACAUGGAAGUCAGGUUUCAUCAAACUCUGAAUCUGAAUUUCAUCAAAAGCUGAAAUCUGGGCGAAAUCUCUCCCAAACAGUGAGGAAUGAAUGUCUGUUGUGAUUAGCCAUCCAGUCUGUGGUAUUUUUGUUGUAGCAGCCUGAAUGGGCUAAGACAGGGACCAAAGUUCAAGGCAGAGGAGAACACUGGUGUGAAGGCACUGUGCUCCAGAAGGGAACGUGCUCCAGGAAGGAGGGAAAGCGGAUGUGAGUGAGAAACGGCGCCAGGAGAGGCAAUAGUGAUGAAGAUUUUUCAGUGUAGUAGGAGAAACCGGCAGCUUCUAAGCAAGGCAAUAACGAGAUUUCCUUUUCCAGAUAAUCAGUCUACUUAACAAUACUUAAUAGUACUACUUAAUAGUACUUAAGGUCUACGUAAUAGUAACUAAGCCCUGUGAAGAGUAGAAGCAGGGAGGCAUAUGAAGGUGGCCCCUGUGUCAACCAGGCCGGAGGAAUACCCUGGAUAAGGGCAGUCAGUGGUGGAGAAGCUGGGAAAGAGCUAGAGGGGGGAAAUGAGCGCACCACUGGCCAAGAUGCCAGAGCUGUGGGGAGACGCUGGAUUUGCCAUGGAGGUGGAAUUGCCAGAGGUUGAUGCUGAGCAAAACAUACAGCACACAGAACACAGCAAGCUCAAAGGCUGGAAGGCAGAGGCUGCAAGAACAUAAUCCACAUGAACAAAAUAUUGGGCAAGAUCAUUGGAUUAAUUCAAGUCAUACAAGGACUGAUUUUAUCUUGUUCUUCAGAUCCAGGGUGACCUCACUUCAUCAUUGGGCAUCAUCAUGUAUUUCUUAACAAAAUGCCCUGAAAAUUGAAGAAGGUCCAUGCCACAUGGGCAGAUGCGCUGUAGCAAGUUCCAAGAGGCCUGUGUUCCAGACCAUCUUCCUCAUACUUAUAAGUCACUUUGCAAAGCCUCCUGAAUUGUAAAAUAACCCA